UUUUUAACGAGAGUUUGAUCCUGGCUCAGGAUGAACGCUGGCGGCGUGCCUAACACAUGCAAGUCGAGCGAAGCACUUUACUUUGAUUUCUUCGGAUUGAAGAGUUUUGUGACUGAGCGGCGGACGGGUGAGUAACGCGUGGGUAACCUGCCUCAUACAGGGGGAUAACAGUUAGAAAUGACUGCUAAUACCGCAUAAGACCACAGCACCGCAUG
rnacentral:rRNA from 1 species